rnacentral:tRNA from 1 species
AGUCUUAUAUUCAAAAAUGAUAUAAAAUUGCAAAUUUUAAGGAAUAGAUAUCUAUUAAGGCUU